UCUGAUCAUACACCAGAGUUCCACGUAGAACUCCAUACCGAAACUGCUCGUAUGGGGACCGAAUCCAUAGCAAGGCCCCUUGCAACAUUCUGUUAGGAGCAGAGGCCUCUGGAGAUGAGGAAACAUAGACAAGAGAGUGUUGAUUGUUUCCAACCAUACUCCACCGACGCCCUAUCAAUAGCAUCAUCAACACAGAUGAAAGGCUGCAUCAUUACUGCUAAGAAGAAUCUCUGUUACCAAUUCUCAAGGCGACCUAUUGUAUAUUCUUCCCUCCUUUGUCCUAACAUUUUCAGAAGUCGCUUUCUUUAUUUUUCUGGGCAACCUGUGAAGUGCUGACACACAAAUUUCUCUGUUUCACGGAGACAGGAUUGGAUUCAGACCGGUUUUCUAAAGACAUAAGAGAGGAUUAAGAGACGUUUCGACACCUACCGAAGGGUUUUGGGAAGAACGGAGACUCCACCCUGAGUGAACCAAAAGUUGACGCUUGACCAGAAAAACUAAAAGAUAAGUAGCAAGCCAAAAAAACGAUACUGGAGGCUGACGAAAGCUAAGAGAUGUCAAGCAGAAAAGAAUGAGAUAAGUUAAAAUCAGUAAUUACUUGAAUUUAUGAAAAACUUGACGGCCAUACUACCACUUUGUGUACAAGGUACAUUUGUCUGUAGAUAACCCGGGAGCUCCGGUUUUCCAGAUGAGAUAGGGUGGCUUCCUGAUUUCUCCUACAUUCGGCGAUCCUGUGUUCUGGAACAGUCUCUCAUUCUCUUCGUGUGUGUUUCAUCGCAGGGUCCCGGAGAGGGCUGGCGAGAGGUGACGGGAGAAAAGAAACAGUCUGGUCACAUAAGACUGGAGAAUUCCAGAUUAAACAAAACCGGCCAGUUUUCUCUACCGUAUGACUCCUGAGGUUUCAGUACGGUAAUAGGCAUCAUGAAUCUGUAAGAGGGAAGCUAGUACGGAAGCCUAUUUAUUGGCACAGGUGUUCUGAGGGACACAUUUGAGAAAGGUGGCUUCUCAGGAUAGAGUGAGAAAUUUUUAAAAGAGGGAGAGGGGGAGAAAAUCUAUUUCUUCCUCCCGGUGGAAGUUGUAUUACCAGCGAAGCCCUUAGAGUCUUUAUCUCAUUUCUUAAUACCGUGUGAAAUAGUCGUUAUCCUGAGAAAACAGACACGGAGAAGCCAAAUCGCCUGUUGAAGAUCAUACAUUUGUAAGUGGCAGAACGAAGAUUUUGAGUCCGGAAGUUCUUGACUCACACCGCGGACCGUGUAUCGUUUUGCAUAGAAGAAGAAAAAAAAAAAUCUCGAUGUUUCCAUGACUUUUCAAACAAUCACCAUUCUUGCAAGAAAAGGUGCGCAAACACAUAAAUCCACACAGGUCACUGACGCUGUGACGGAAGAAACAUUCGUUCAGCCAGGGAUGGGUUGAAUUUUACGAGAUGCGUUUGGGUGUUGGUCCUGUAACAGACACUUUGAUUAAUUGGCCUCGCACACAGGUACAAUUUAAAAGACUCUAACCUUCCACCUUGCCCAUGAGGAAUGAGAAAAAUGCGUGGUUCCCUUUAUCAUCCAGAGGGAGAGGGGGGCCCAGUUUCACCAGCAGCCUCUCCGUCUUUUCUACUAGCUCCUCAUACCUUUGCUAUCCUUCACAUCCCCUUCCUUGGGUUCGAAUCCAAGUUUCUGUUUUAGAAGUGAUUACCAAGGAAAAAAAUUCACGGGUGCAAUCCCUAGGUGGUUCAUGUGGGACGUGAGAUUUGCAGAGAAUUUGACAUGUACUGAGUCUCAUUCCUUUCGAAUGAUACACUGAACAUGCCCAGAGAUGUUUCAGAUCGUUCCAGGAGCAUACACACCAGGAUGCGUCAGGGCAUGAUGCGUCCCUGCGCGCCCAGGUUAGAAUGGUGUGUGCCUUCUCAAGUCUGAUUUGUUCCCCAGGAAGACGGUGUUCCUCAGAGGCUGUGCAUGGAGGAAGGAGGCCAGAAGGCAGAUUUUAAAUCAAGGACAAAAACAACAACAACCACCCCGGGAUGCCUGGGUGGCUCAUUCGGUUGAGCGUCUGACUUCGACUUCGGCUCAGGUCACGAUCUCAUGGUUUCAUGGGUUCAAGCCCCGCGUCGGGCUCUGUGCUGACAGCUCAGAGCCUGGAGCCUGUUUCGGAUUCUGUGUCUCCUUCUGUCUCUGCCCCUCCGUCUCCCCCCCCCCCUCAAGAAUAAAUAAAUGUAAAAAACCA
ensembl:lncRNA